rnacentral:rRNA from 1 species
UACGAAGGGGGGCUAGCGUUGCUCGGAAUCACUGGGCGUAAAGCGCACGUAGGCGGCUUUGUAAGUUAGAGGUGAAAGCCCGGGGCUCAACUCCGGAACUGCCUUUAAGACUGCAUCGCUUGAAUCCAGGAGAGGUGAGUGGAAUUCCGAGUGUAGAGGUGAAAAUUCGUAGAUAUUCGGAAGAACACCAGUGGCGAAGGCGGCUCACUGGACUGGUAUUGACGCUGAGGUGCGAAAGCGUGGGGAGCAAACAGG